UACGUAGGGUGCGAGCGUUGUCCGGAAUUAUUGGGCGUAAAGAGCUCGUAGGCGGUUUGUCGCGUCGGCUGUGAAAACCCGGGGCUCAACCCCGGGCCUGCAGUCGAUACGGGCAAACUAGAGUGUGGUAGGGGAGACUGGAAUUCCUGGUGUAGCGGUGAAAUGCGCAGAUAUCAGGAGGAACACCGGUGGCGAAGGCGGGACUCUGGGCCGAUACUGACGCUGAGGAGCGAAAGCGUGGGGAGCAAACAGG
rnacentral:rRNA from 1 species